rnacentral:rRNA from 1 species
UACGUAGGUGGCAAGCGUUGUCCGGAUUUAUUGGGUUUAAAGGGUGCGUAGGCGGCCCUGUAAGUCAGUUGUGAAAUACGGCAGCUUAACUGUCGAGGUGCAAUUGAUACUGCAGGGCUUGAGUACUGAUGAGGUAGGCGGAAUGGACGGUGUAGCGGUGAAAUGCUUAGAGAUCGUCCAGAACACCGAUAGCGAAGGCAGCUUACUAAGCUGUAACUGACGCUGAUGCACGAAAGCGUGGGGAUCGAACAGG